CGAUCUUGGCUGACCUUGCAAUGGAAGAUGUAUAUAUAGGUAAAGACAGGAAGAGGAGAGCAGAUAGCAUUUGAAGACAGCUUCUGACGAACUUGUAUCACCAUGAAGCUUACACUGCUCCUCGGUUUCUCGGUAGCCUUGAUGGUGGUGUUUACCUCAGUCACCGCUGAGCCGGAACCUGAGGCUGAUCCCGGCCUUGCCAGGUUAUUAUUCAAGGGCCUUGGUUAUGGCCGUUAUGGUAAAGGUGGCAAGGGUAAAGGCCUCUUUGGUAAAGGCUCUGGAAAGGGUUUGUUUGGAAAAGACUUUGGAAAAGGUCAUGGUGGUCAAGAACUGUUCUAUGAACCAGCUUACGUCCGUGUUCCUGCCUACCACCACCAGCCUACCUACGAGCAUUAGCAAUCCUAUCACUAACAGCCUAACAACGCCAUCCUACCCAACACCAACAGCCUACUUGCCACUAACAGUCCUCUUGACAUCACCAAUCUGCCUAUACCCAUCAGCCUACCAAUCAUUAACAGCCUCCCGACCAUCACGGUCACACGGCCGUCAAAGAGCAGCACUCCACCCACCACAACCAGGCCGCCUGUCACCAGCAGUUCGGCAGUGGAUCAUCAGUAACAGCGGCUCCCGUCUCCAGCUUGCCCGCGACAGGAGAGAGGCUCAUCCAUAUUACCCUACCGUACGGUAGGCACUCGUCAUUUAUGGCACAGUGAAAGUGGUGUCAGAGAGAGAGAGAGAGAGAGAGAGAGAGAGAGAGAAAGAGAGAGAGAGAGAGAGAGUGUGUGUGUGUGUGUGUGUGUGUGUGUGUGUAUGUCAGUGUGUGUGUACACGCACCACGUUUUAAGUGGUCGAUAGUGAUGAGAUUUUCCGUCUGUGUAAGAGGAUUAUCCCUGUAAGCAUUUUCAAUAAAAUUAACCCAUUAAGAUAUAAUUUAAUGUAUUUAUUUGUCUCUCAAAUGUAUAAGAAUUCAAAAUGAUUUUGUCUCCAUAGCUAAUGCUUUAUAUGUGAGAAUCUAAAAACCACUCUUCUUCUCGGCGCCUGAAAAAAAAAAAAAAAAAGGGAAAGCCAUAAAUGACUCGAAGCUAA